AUUGAACGCUGGCGGCAGGCCUAACACAUGCAAGUCGAACGAGUGGCGGACGGGUGAGUAAUAUAUGGGAACGUGCCCGAUAGCGGGGGAUAACUACUGGAAAGGGUGGCUAAUACCGCAUACUAUUAGAGCGGCCGAUAUGGGAUUAGCUUGUUGGUGGGGUAAAGGCUCCCCAAGGCGACGAUCCCUAGCUGGUCUGAGAGGACGACCAGCCACACUGGGACUGAGACACGGCCCAGACUCCUACGGGAGGCAGCAGUGGGGAAUAUUGCACAAUGGGCGAAAGCCUGAUGCAGCCAUGCCGCGUGUAUGAAGAAGGCCUUCGGGUUGUAAAGUACUUUCGGCGGGGAGGCGUUACCCGCAGAAGAAGCACCGGCUAACUCCGUGCCAGCAGCCGCGGUAAUAC
rnacentral:rRNA from 1 species